rnacentral:rRNA from 1 species
GAUGAACGCUGGCGGCGUGCUUAACACAUGCAAGUCGAACGAUGAAGCCCAGCUUGCUGGGUGGAUUAGUGGCGAACGGGUGAGUAACACGUGAGUAACCUGCCCUUAACUCUGGGAUAAGCCUGGGAAACUGGGUCUAAUACCGGAUAGGAGCGUCCACCGCAUGGUGGGUGUUGGAAAGAUUUAUCGGUUUUGGAUGGACUCGCGGCCUAUCAGCUUGUUGGUGAGGUAAUGGCUUACCAAGGCGACGACGGGUAGCCGGCCUGAGAGGGUGACCGGCCACACUGGGACUGAGACACGGCCCAGACUCCUACGGGAGGCAGCAGUGGGGAAUAUUGCACAAUGGGCGCAAGCCUGAUGCAGCGACGCCGCGUGAGGGAUGACGGCCUUCGGGUUGUAAACCUCUUUCAGUAGGGAAGAAGCGAAAGUGACGGUACCUGCAGAAGAAGCACCGGCUAACUACGUG